rnacentral:rRNA from 1 species
CUGGCGGCACGCUUAACACAUGCAAGUCGAACGAGAUCUUCGGAUCUAGUGGCAGACGGGUGAGUAACGCGUGGGAACCUGCCCAGUAGUAGAGGACAACUUGGGGAAACUUAAGCUAAUACUUUAUACGUCCUUCGGGAGAAAGCUUUAUGCGCUAUUGGAUGGGCCCGCGUUAGAUUAGUUUGUUGGUGAGGUAAUGGCUCACCAAGACUACGAUCUAUAGCUGGUCUGAGAGGAUGAUCAGCCACACUGGGACUGAGACACGGCCCAGACUCCUACGGGAGGCAGCAGUGGGGAAUAUUGGACAAUGGGGGCAACCCUGAUCCAGCGAUGCCGCGUGAGUGAUGAAGGCCCUAGGGUUGUAAAACUCUUUCGUCAGGGAAGAUAAUGACGGUACCUGAAGAAGAAGAUCCGGCUAACUCCGUGCCAGCAGCCGCGGUAAUACGGAGGGAUCUAGCGUUAUUCGGAAUUACUGGGCGUAAAGCGAGCGUAGGCGGAUUUGUAAGUUGGAGGUGAAAUCCCAGAGCUUAACUCUGGAACUGCCUUCAAAACUACAUUUCUUGAGUUUGGUAGAGGAGAGUGGAAUUCCUAGUGUAGAGGUGAAAUUCGUAGAUAUUAGGAGGAACACCAGUGGCGAAGGCGACUCUCUGGGCCAAUACUGACGCUGAGGUUCGAAAGCAUGGGUAGCGAACAGGAUUAGAUACCCUGGUAGUCCAUGCAGUAAACGAUGAGUGCUAGAUGUUGGGAAUUUAAAUUUCCAGUAUCGCAGUUAACGCGUUAAGCACUCCGCCU